CCUAAGUCUCUGCAUCUUUAAGCCUCAGAAGACUCUCUGUCUGGAACGACAGUGAGCUCAACAUGAAGUAGAAAUAAACUCUCUAGGGUCUUUGAUUCUCGAUCAAGAAAGCCUGGCAUCUGACGCAGGAAGCCAUCAUUGGCAGCAGCUCGGCAUCAGGUCACCCUCAGUGCCAGUCACCUGUGCUGCUCCUUCUGUGACUCCGUGCAGAUGCAUAAGGCCCUCCUGGACAUCAACUGAGGCAGUCAGUGUUAAAGAUUUGAAUGACUCUGCUGACUGAGUAACCAAUCACUGUGCAAAUCAAGGCGCAUCUGACUCUUUGCCUGCUGGUAGGUGACUAAUUUCUGUAUAAAAAAAGAGUAUGUG
rnacentral:lncRNA from 1 species